rnacentral:rRNA from 1 species
UACGGGGGGGUGCGAGCGUUGCCCGGAAUCACUGGGCGUAAAGGGCGCGUAGGUGGCGUGAUAAGGGUGUGGUGAAAGCCCGGGGCUCAACCCCGGGUCUGCCAUGCCGACUGUCAGGCUAGAGUACUGUAGGGGCAGGCGGAAUUCCGGGUGUAGCGGUGGAAUGCGUAGAGAUCCGGAGGAAGACCGGUGGCGAAGGCGGCCUGCUGGGCAGUUACUGACACUGAGGCGCGACACGUGGGGAGCAAACAGG